rnacentral:rRNA from 1 species
GGGUUGUGAGGUUAAGCGACUAAGCGUACACGGUGGAUGCCCUGGCAGUCAGAGGCGAUGAAGGACGUGCUAAUCUGCGAAAAGCGUCGGUAAGGUGAUAUGAACCGUUAUAACCGGCGAUGUCCGAAUGGGGAAACCCAGUGCAAUUCGUUGCACUAUCGUUAAGUGAAUACAUAGCUUAACGAGGCGAACCGGGGGAACUGAAACAUCUAAGUACCCCGAGGAAAAGAAAUCAACCGAGAUUCCCCCAGGCUAAAUACUCCUGACUGACCGAUAGUGAACCAGUACCGUGAGGGAAAGGCGAAAAGAACCCCGGCGAGGGGAGUGAAAAAGAACCUGAAACCGUGUACGUACAAGCAGUGGGAGCCUCUUUAUGGGGUGACUGCGUACCUUUUGUAUAAUGGGUCAGCGACUUAUAUUCUGUAGCAAGGUUAACCGAAUAGGGGAGCCGAAGGGAAACCGAGUCUUAACUGGGCGUUAAGUUGCAGGGUAUAGACCCGAAACCCGGUGAUCUAGCCAUGGGCAGGUUGAAGGUUGGGUAACACUAACUGGAGGACCGAACCGACUAAUGUUGAAAAAUUAGCGGAUGACUUGUGGCUGGGGGUGAAAGGCCAAUCAAACCGGGAGAUAGCUGGUUCUCCCCGAAAGCUAUUUAGGUAGCGCCUCGUGAACUCAUCUUCGGGGGUAGAGCACUGUUUCGGCUAGGGGGUCAUCCCGACUUACCAACCCGAUGCAAACUGCGAAUACCGAAGAAUGUUAUCACGGGAGACACACGGCGGGUGCUAACGUCCGUCGUGAAGAGGGAAACAACCCAGACCGCCAGCUAAGGUCCCAAAGUCAUGGUUAAGUGGGAAACGAUGUGGGAAGGCCCAGACAGCCAGGAUGUUGGCUUAGAAGCAGCCAUCAUUUAAAGAAAGCGUAAUAGCUCACUGGUCGAGUCGGCCUGCGCGGAAGAUGUAACGGGGCUAAACCAUGCACCGAAGCUGCGGCAGCGACACUAUGUGUUGUUGGGUAGGGGAGCGUUCUGUAAGCCGUUGAAGGUGACCUGUGAGGGUUGCUGGAGGUAUCAGAAGUGCGAAUGCUGACAUAAGUAACGAUAAUGCGGGUGAAAAACCCGCACGCCGGAAGACCAAGGGUUCCUGUCCAACGUUAAUCGGGGCAGGGUGAGUCGACCCCUAAGGCGAGGCCGAAAGGCGUAGUCGAUGGGAAACAGGUUAAUAUUCCUGUACUUGGUGUUACUGCGAAGGGGGGACGGAGAAGGCUAUGUUGGCCGGGCGACGGUUGUCCCGGUUUAAGCGUGAAGGUGUGUGUUCCAGGCAAAUCCGGUUCACUYUAACACUGAGGCGUGAUGACGAGGCACUACGGUGCUGAAGUGACAAAUGCCCUGCUUCCAGGAAAAGCCUCUAAGCAUCAGGUAACACGAAAUCGUACCCCAAACCGACACAGGUGGUCAGGUAGAGAAUACCAAGGCGCUUGAGAGAACUCGGGUGAAGGAACUAGGCAAAAUGGUGCCGUAACUUCGGGAGAAGGCACGCUGACAGGUAGGUGAAGCGACUUGCUCGUGGAGCUGAAAUCAGUCGAAGAUACCAGCUGGCUGCAACUGUUUAUUAAAAACACAGCACUGUGCAAACACGAAAGUGGACUUGUCGGGUAAGUUCCGACCUGCACGAAUGGCGUAAUGAUGGCCAGGCUGUCUCCACCCGAGACUCAGUGAAAUUGAACUCGCUGUGAAGAUGCAGUGUACCCGCGGCAAGACGGAAAGACCCCGUGAACCUUUACUAUAGCUUGACACUGAACACUGGUCCUUGAUGUGCAGGAUAGGUGGGAGGCUUUGAAGUGUGGACGCCAGUCUGCAUGGAGCCGCCCUUGAAAUACCACCCUUUAAUGGCUGGUGUUCUAACGUGGGCCCGUAAUCCGGGUUGCGGACAGUGUCUGGUGGGUAGUUUGACUGGGGCGGUCUCCUCCUAAAGAGUAACGGAGGAGCACGAAGGUUAGCUAAUCCUGGUCGGACAUCAGGAGGUUAGUGCAAUGGCAUAAGCUAGCUUGACUGCGAGCGUGACGGCGCGAGCAGGUGCGAAAGCAGGUCAUAGUGAUCCGGUGGUUCUGAAUGGAAGGGCCAUCGCUCAACGGAUAAAAGGUACUCCGGGGAUAACAGGCUGAUACCGCCCAAGAGUUCAUAUCGACGGCGGUGUUUGGCACCUCGAUGUCGGCUCAUCACAUCCUGGGGCUGAAGUAGGUCCCAAGGGUAUGGCUGUUCGCCAUUUAAAGUGGUACGCGAGCUGGGUUUAGAACGUCGUGAGACAGUUCGGUCCCUAUCUGCCGUGGGCGCUGGAGAAUUGAGGGGGGCUGCUCCUAGUACGAGAGGACCGGAGUGGACGCAUCACUGGUGUUCGGGUUGUCAUGCCAAUGGCAUUGCCCGGUAGCUAAAUGCGGAAGAGAUAAGUGCUGAAAGCAUCUAAGCACGAAACUUGCCCCGAGAUGAGUUCUCCCUGACNGUACGAGAGGACCGGAGUGGACGCAUCACUGGUGUUCGGGUUGUCAUGCCAAUGGCAUUGCCCGGUAGCUAAAUGCGGAAGAGAUAAGUGCUGAAAGCAUCUAAGCACGAAACUUGCCCCGAGAUGAGUUCUCCCUGACUCUUAAAGAGUCCUGAAGGAACGUUGAAGACGACGACGUUGAUAGGCCGGGUGUGUAAGCGCAGCGAUGCGUUGAGCUAACCGGUACUAAUGAACCGUGAGGCUUAACCUUACAACGCCGAAG